rnacentral:rRNA from 1 species
GCACAACGCGAAGAACCUUACCUACUCUUGACAUCCAGAGAACUUAGCAGAGAUGCUUUGGUGCCUUCGGGAACUCUGAGACAGGUGCUGCAUGGCUGUCGUCAGCUCGUGUUGUGAAAUGUUGGGUUAAGUCCCGCAACGAGCGCAACCCUUAUCCUUUGUUGCCAGCGGUUCGGCCGGGAACUCAAAGGAGACUGCCAGUGAUAAACUGGAGGAAGGUGGGGAUGACGUCAAGUCAUCAUGGCCCUUACAAGUAGGGCUACACACGUGCUACAAUGGCGUAUACAAAGAGAAGCGACCUCGCGAGAGCAAGCGGACCUCAUAAAGUACGUCGUAGUCCGGAUUGGAGUCUGCAACUCGACUCCAUGAAGUCGGAAUCGCUAGUAAUCGUAGAUCAGAAUGCUACGGUGAAUACGUUCCCGGGUCUUGUACACACCG